GUGUCUUUAGUUUAUUCGGUAAAAUGCUUCACUGUGAAUGAAGAGAACAGGGUUCGAUUCCCGAAGACACC
rnacentral:tRNA from 1 species